rnacentral:rRNA from 1 species
AUUGAACGCUGGCGGCAUGCCUUACACAUGCAAGUCGAACGGCAGCACGGGAGCAAUCCUGGUGGCGAGUGGCGAACGGGUGAGUAAUGUAUCGGAACGUGCCCAGUCGUGGGGGAUAACGUAGCGAAAGCUACGCUAAUACCGCAUACGAUCUAUGGAUGAAAGCGGGGGAUCGCAAGACCUCGCGCGAUUGGAGCGGCCGAUAUCAGAUUAGGUAGUUGGUGGGGUAAAGGCUCACCAAGCCGACGAUCUGUAGCUGGUCUGAGAGGACGACCAGCCACACUGGGACUGAGACACGGCCCAGACUCCUACGGGAGGCAGCAGUGGGGAAUUUUGGACAAUGGGCGCAAGCCUGAUCCAGCAAUGCCGCGUGCAGGAUGAAGGCCUUCGGGUUGUAAACUGCUUUUGUACGGAGCGAAAAGGCUCUCUCUAAUACAGGGGGCUCAUGACGGUACCGUAAGAAUAAGCACCGGCUAACUACGUGCCAGCCGCCGCCGUAA